AUGGAGUUUGGGCUGAGCUGGCUUUUUCUUGUGGCUAUUUUAAAAGUGUCCAGUGUGAGGUGCAGCUGGUGGAGUCUGGGGGAGGCUUGGUACAGCCUGGGGGGUCCCUGAGACUCUCCUGUGCAGCCUCUGGAUUCACCUUUAGCAGCUAUGCCAUGAGCUGGGUCCGCCAGGCUCCAGGGAAGGGGCUGGAGUGGGUCUCAGCUAUUAGUGGUAGUGGUGGUAGCACAUACUACGCAGACUCCGUGAAGGGCCGGUUCACCAUCUCCAGAGACAAUUCCAAGAACACGCUGUAUCUGCAAAUGAACAGCCUGAGAGCCGAGGACACGGCCGUAUAUUACUGUGCGAAAGGGGCCUCCCACAAUGUGACUACUUUGACUACUGGGGCCAGGGAACCCUGGUCACCGUCUCCUC
rnacentral:lncRNA from 1 species